UACGUAGGUCGCAAGCGUUGUCCGGAUUUACUGGGCGUAAAGAGCGCGCAGGCGGCUGGUCAAGUCCGAUGUGAAAUCUCCCGGCUCAACUGGGAAACUGCAUCGGAAACUGAUCGGCUUGAAGAUGGGAGAGGGUAGUGGAAUUCACGGUGUAGCAGUGAAAUGCGUAGAUAUCGUGAGGAAUACCAGAGGCGAAGGCGGCUACCUGGACAAUUGCUGACGCUCAGGCACGAAAGCGUGGGGAGCAAAAGGG
rnacentral:rRNA from 1 species